UACGAAGGGGGCUAGCGUUGCUCGGAAUGACUGGGCGUAAAGGGCGCGUAGGCGGAUUGCUUUGUCGGGCGUGAAAUUCCGGGGCUUAACCUCGGGGCUGCGUUCGAGACGGGUAGUCUUGAGUUCGGAAGAGGGUCGUGGAAUUCCCAGUGUAGAGGUGAAAUUCGUAGAUAUUGGGAAGAACACCGGUGGCGAAGGCGGCGACCUGGUCCGGGGACUGACGCUGAGGCGCGAAAGCGUGGGGAGCAAACAGG
rnacentral:rRNA from 1 species